rnacentral:lncRNA from 1 species
UUGGAUCACGCCCUAUCAGGAGCUGGAGCGGCUGGAAGAAGCUUUCGCCGCUCCCUUCUUUGCUUGAUCGCCACUUUGAUCUUCUUUUGCCGGAUCUUCCGCCGCUGCUGGAGUUUCUUCCCCUGCUGCUUCGUCUUGAGUUGUUUUGGCCUCGGCUUUAGCUCUUCUUUGCCGUUCUCGUUCUUGGCACCGUGAACGUUGGAUUGAGGAAUAUACGUGGCGGGAUGUACGGCGUUCGCCCCGAAGAAGAAGAAGAAGAGGGAUUCUUCGUUAGGUUCUAUAGAGAAAUUUGGAGCUUGUCGGGAAGAACAGUGGAAGAAGUAGAGAUCUAGCUCCGGGCAGCUUCUAGGAACCGCAGGAAUCGAAGGAUGAGAGUCUCGCGUAGGGCUUGGUCGUGGUAGCGGCGUCUGGAUCGAUAGGAGCAGCCAUGAAUUCCAGGUGUAGAGUGGUGGAUCACGACCGGCGGUGCGAUAGAGGGCAAGAACGCGAGAUUACGGCGAGGAAUCGCUUGUAGCAGGCCAAGGAUUCGAGGCGAGAGAUGCGUUACCAGCUGGGAAUGGAGCGCUCCAAGCUACUCACGCUCGGCAAGCCCUCUCCCGAGAAUCCAAUGGCGAUGCUGCCGGGGGCGGCGGCACCGGAGGAUCGAUCAAGCAGAACAUCCAGGACAUCGUGUGGUCCUUUAUGUUUGGGGAAGUAGGAGCCGCCAGAAUAUUAUAGUAUAUUCUUUUAUAUUUUAAUUCAUAUAUCAUUAAAACAAAACGUUUGUAGUUAGAUAAAACUAUCAUUUGAUUUAAUCUGAUAAAUAUAUCUUUAUUCGGAAAUUAUUAUAGGAAAAUAAUAUAAGUAUUAAAAUUUUCAAUUGAUAGUAUUUAUUACAAGCUUAUUGUAUUAAUAAUAAUUUAAUUAUAUUUUCAAAUACAAAGUAUGGUGUAAAAAAUCUAAACAUAAUUAUACAUUUGCUUCUUUAAAUAAUAAAAUUAGAAACAUAUAUUUAAAAUAUAAUAUAAAAUUGAUCAUAUAUAAACAUAAUUAUGCAUUUGCAUCUUUAAAUAAUAAAAUUAGAAACAUAUAUUUAAAUAUAAUAUAAAAUUGAUGAUAUAAAAUAAUUUUAUGUUAAAAAAGGAAAGAAAUUAAUGCAACAUACAAGAAAAUUAUUUCUUAUUUACAAUUAUCUUUAUAAUCUAGAAAUUCAACAAUAAUUGAACCAUUAACAUGUUUAUAACAUCCUUCAAAUGACCAAUUAUUCCAACCAUGAUCACCUUUUGUUUUAUAUUUUGCCCAGCCUGGAAAAACAACUAAUUGAUAAGGUUCUCCAUUUACUCUAAAAUCAACAAUUUCUAUUAUUGGAUUUGGAUCUCUUCUAAUUUCAAAUGAUAAAGAAGAUUUAUAUAUAAAAACAUUUACAUCUCUGCCAUGCAUAUUAUAAUAAAUAUCUAAAUCACAAGUCAUGAGUUUUUCCCAGGAAGAAUUUGAACAAUCAAUACCAUCAUUUAAAUAAAGAUCUAUUAAAAAUUGAAAGAAAAAAAAAGAAAUAUAAAAUUUAAGAAAAUACAUAGUUAAUGGUUAGUUCAUUGUAGCUUUGUGAAUAAAUAUAAAUAUAAACACAUUAUAAACUCAGCCAACAAAUAAUAUAAAUAAUUCCCAAGAUUUCUAUUUUGUUUUAUAUGAGAAAAGAUAUUCCCUGAUAUGAGCAUAUAAUUGGCUAUAAAAUGUAUUAUUUCUUUUAUAUACCGUAACUUAUCAUUAUGUCAUUUAAAUUAAUAUGGAUAAGUUAGUUUGGUUUGUUUAAUAUAGUUCUAAACGUAUUGUAUAGCCAUAUGAAGGAUGAAGACACCCAAGUCUAGUGUAACCUUAGUACCCAGCAUAAGGUUGUGUGGCAAUAACUUUCCUCUUAAAUUUAGCUACAUGCUAAAACUUUAAUAAUAUUAUUGGGUUCAUUAAACCACUGUGAAAAUAAAUCUUAUAUUUAAUUAUAAUAUAAAAAUAUUUCAAAUAGAAUUUGAAAAGUUUAUAAAUCUUUCAGAAUAGUUCACCACACAUAAAUUAACAAUUCCAAGAUAUGCCAUUGGAAAGAAUUCCUUGAAAAACUAAUAAUUAAGUACAUCUAAAUAAUUUCACCAUAUCUAGUAAAUUUCUUACCUAUACCCACAAAUAAUUAUUGUAAAUUAACAUAAUCUUUCUUGAGUAGUUUUACAAACUUGAUGUUGCCACACAUAAAAAUAGUCCUCUAUUUUAGAAGUUGAAGAAGCUUAAUCACUAUGUUUUUCAUAUCUUAUUAUAAGAUAUCAUAUAACUAGAUUUGAAGAGGAUUGUACAUAAAUUUAUAAGUAUUGCCUUUGUUGAAUUUUACUUGAGAGUUGUUAAUGAUUUUUGUUUUAAGAAUAACACUACAAUUAGUUUUUCAUAUUUAUAAUUUUGAAUAAAAUCAUGAUCUUUACAAUAACUAGUAAAGCAAUUGGUAUUAAACUGGUAAAAUGCAUAAUCUAUCCUUUGAUUGUGAGUAUACUUUUUCUCCAACCAAAGCCUAGCUUUUAUAUUGUAGCGUACGUGGUUUUGACCCUUUAUCCUAUGGUGAUUUACCAUAGGAUAACUAUGAAGUGGAAACUAAACCCUUAUUGUGCCACGUGACAGAUGUUAUGUGUCACAUGCCAUGUGUCCAAAAGAUAAUGAUGUGGAACCUGAGUUUCAGGGCCUUGGGCCACUAAACGAAAGAACGGUGCCAAACUCCUAAGGAGUGACGGAAUUGAACCACGGAGCAACUCCUGAGCAUACAAGCCAAGGAGUGAAGGGACAGGUGGAGUGACUUGAAACAAUCCUAGAGUAUCUAGCAUCCCAAUGCUAAGAUCAACAUACAAAACGAAACCAAAUGGAGUUUAACACUUUUUCAACAUACCGGUAGCCUAACGUGAGGACAUGGGUACUCCACCAGCUAGUAUGGUGUGGAGUUUGGGUUUAAACCCAAGUUGAACGCAAAACAAAGACAGCCACGCAAACGGGAAUUAAAUUAUGCCUCAGGUUAGUUAGCCAUGCCCAACCUACCCACUAUCCCUAUUAUACAUUUGGAACCCCCCAUACCCCAUAUAUAUUGGAAAUGAAAUAUAAAAAUGUGCAUAUCAAUUACUACUAAAGGAUUAUCUACUUUUAGCACAAAAUAUUCUUGACACAAAACAUCAUACACUAAGAAUAUACCUUCAAAGAAUAGUCUACUGACAAAAAUUGGCUGGAAGGCUGGAACUGGGCUGAGUGCUAGAUAAGGAAGGAGGGGGAGCGGAAAUGAAGUGAUUGGCAGUGACUCUGAGAUUCGAAGUGGAUUUUAAGAUUGUUUCUCUUUUUUCUCACUCCACUCACUUGUGCAGAGGAGAAGAGCUUACUUGAGAGGCAAUAAGUAAUUCUUGACACUCAAAAGCAAUGUUCUUUGGGUUGUGCAGGAUCAUAUUUUUCUUUUCCUUAGGUGGAAAUCCUACCUCGUGAAGAAGCUGCCAAAGAAUCAUGCUCGUCGGUGUUGUCUCGUACCCUCUUAGACGACAAUCUCAACAGGUUAGCGAGCAGCAUUCUUUUUUUCACUCUGUGAUGCUAAAAGCGAUAGUUUUGUAGGCUUUGGACGCCAUGGAGAGGCUGCGAGCAAACUCAGUAGCACUACAUACUUCUUUUUUGUGCUUUGCUUGGCAGUACUGAUUUCUUUGUUUUUCUCUCCACAGCACUGGUUCCAACUCAAGGCUCGUUUUCAUUUGUGAGAAUUCGAAGGACAGGUUUAGCACCUCACUGGUGGUGAAGAAGUCCCAAGACGACGACUGGAUUUCCGCGAGCACUGCCGCCUACGUGGUCGCUUACCUUCUUGAGGAUGAGCGGAAGCUGUUUUACAGCGAAUCACGCGUGUAUAACGAUAAAAAAACUCAUGUUUUUUGUUGGACUGAGAUAGAUGUUUCCAAUGUUUCCUGGCAUGUGAAGACGGUCCCGGUUGCGGUGUGGAUCAUCUGGUGGCCCCUUGCCUCCAAAUUGUGCCAGUUUAAUUUAGAGCUGCAAGUACAAAGCCAGCAAUGAUCUUACUAGCAAAUGAUCUUGCCAUUACCUUGUAAAGAUCACACUCGAGGAUACAUUUGCAUGAACCCCCCGGCGCACAGCCGAAUUGUCUUGUUCUAGAUGGCAUGGGGCCUGGUGGAGACAGGUAGCUCGAGAAAACUAGCAAUGGAGUCAUUCCUCCAUCAUCCUCGACCACGACAACGAAGGCCAGCAUGUCUUGGUUGAUCUCCCACAUUUUUGCCACUGCGACGUGAUCCACGAGAAUGUGAGCUUCGUCCCAUCGCACCCUAUCAAUGAAAUUGCAAUCGAUCAUACUUGCGCUGCGCAGAUGCAUUACUACCUUCUGUAAAGACAUGGAGCUUGCUUGAGUUGGAGAGCUUCCCGAUGAAGCUUCCACUCCUUGACAGCUGCUAAAACUGACUCGCAUCUUGCGUCGCGGACCGCGAAUGGGGACAGGCUAGAAAAGCAAGAUUGAAAUGAAAAUCGAUUCAAGAAAUCGCAAACCUGGGUGGGAGGCACAGCAGGAUAGAUAAUCCUUUUUGGAGCCGACACUGGAUCUUUGGCGAGCAAUCUCCCUAUGAAUCGACAUUUCGAGUGGGAAUGGCCAAGUUGGGAGCGACAAGCCUCGGACCUGUAGUUUCCAUGGCUUUACCAUUAAUAAAAGUCAUUGAUUUUGGACUACAAGGUCAACACUUUCAAAGUUUAGUCUCGAUCAAUUUCGCGGCACUAUCCCCCUUCCAAUUCUCCACCAAGUGGUGCUGCGAACGUAGGAAUUUACCAGUCUCCUUCCUGAAGAUCGUUGCUGCAAUCCCGAUUUUUAUAAGCUCUUUGUUUCCUUGCUCGCAUCUGAAGUACACAUAAACAUGUGAGUCCAUGGCAUUGGAAAGAAAGAAAGAAACAAUGUUGUUACCUCUUCUGAGAGAGAGAGGCUCUGCCUCUCACUCGUCAUUGUGUUGAUCGUCGUGGUUUUUCCUGAUCCAAGGGUUUUCGCCAUACCUUUGUGUAAUCUUUUAAAACCCUAAAAGGAAUGAGAAUAAAUAUCUAAAGCGAUUAUAUGGUGAUCUAAAACACUGUACCAAAUAUCACUUUUAUUCAAGAUUGAGAAGAGGUGGGAGCUAUGGACAUCGCAAAAUGACUUCAUUCAUUCAUUUAACAUUUUUGUUUUGACUAGUUUAUAAAGUUUGAUUUGAUGUGGAAGUUUUUUUCUUAAAUAAUAAAACUUCACAGUGGAACAUUUUUGUUAUUUCUCAUAUUUUUGUUCAGAAGUUUCAAUGUUUGCUGCUGCUUUUUGAGCCAAAUACAAACUUGCCAAGCGAUGAGACUCAAUUCUUCUUGGCUCGAUAAAUCCUGGAGUCUCAUCCCAGAGAUUGAGUACAAAAUCUAUUUUAAAACAAUUUCUAUUUUUAAAUUGUUCUUAUAAGAUUGCAUGUAUUAUUAGAUUUUGGUGGACCCUUUUAUGAGAAAAAGUAUGAGCAUGUUGAGCUCUCUGUUAGAAAGUGGAACAUUCACAAGCAACCUACGAUCAUUCAAGAAAAACUUAAGAAACUCAUACUGAGCUCAGCCUUUGUACAAAUGAAGAUGAAGAAAUCACCGGUGACACUGCCACUCACAAAAUCGCAAAGCAAAGGAAGGAGCUUCGAGCUGGUAGAGCGAUUUAGUGCCGAGAAACUCCAAGCCCCAGAGGUAGGUGGAGCGUGCAUUGCAAGUUGUCGACAGGAUCAUCGAGCUUAAAAGUCACAGACAGCGUCCUCGGAUCCAUUUUCCUCAGCGUCUCGGCUGCUUCAGCAUCCACGAGCAAAGUGCGACGUAGAAAAAUCAACACUGCCCAAGAGUGCCAAGGAAAAUCUCUCCAGUGACAGCUACUUUGGCUCUGGAAGACGAGACAAUUUAAGAGGAAAAUGUUUAAAGUAGGGUUCUUCGGGUGGGCUUUGGCGGGAAGGCGAUGGGGAAGCCGGCCCGGAGCUUCGGUAAGGAUCUCUCUCGAUGCCGGUAGAAUGCGGGUGUGGUCGACAAAGUGGACUCCUUCACGGAAGUUCUAGAGGAGGUGAAGGGCUUGUUUCACCUUCUAAACUUAACUCCUUUCAUGUCCUUCACGUUCUAGAUGUAUAAGAUGCUCAAGCAGAAGGAGGAAGCUGGUGAGGGCGAUCGUUGCAAACAACAAGCUGCUGUUGCUCAACAAUCCUGUGCAUGACGGGAAAAUAUCCUUGCAUUUCCCAGUUUCAAAGAGCUUGCUCCUUUCCUUACUACAUUUCUCUUCACAUCCAACUUCUCAGGCGCUCUGUGAAUGAAUUACUGGGAGAACCUUCUAAAGUCUGAGGUACUUAGUUUGUUUACUUUCCAACGUCAAACGUAAACGUUUGAUCGCGUUACUUAGUUUAAUAAGUUUCGAGAGUUAAGGUCAAGAAGAUUAUAUUUUUGGUAUGGUAUUGGAAGGACGUGCUAUCAAAAAUAUCAAGCCUGGAAAAAUCUGAUUUUCUAGGUGGUUGUCAAGUCUUGUGUAUAUUUGCAUGAAUCGCACGCAUGUAACUACUGUUUACAACGUGGCAACGUGUUGCCCAUGGAACAGCUCUUUCAGUAGGAAGGACUAGGGCUUCUUUCUUUCCCACGAAAAUUUAAAAAGAACCUCACAAAGACAAAGUGAAAGGAAAAGGAAUGUUUAAUGUUAUAUCUCUAAUAAAUGCCAAACCAUGUAAAUACAAACGAGAGGGCGCGAAAUUGGGUCGCCAACCGCAGCGAGCUCCCGCCGCGCGGCGCCGUUCUUGACACCGUGACCGUUGGAUUGAGGAAUAUACGUGGCGGGAUGUACGGCGUCUCCCGCUCCCCGGCGUUCGUCCCGAAGAAGAAGAAGAAGAGGGAUUCUUCGUUAGGUUCUAUAGAGAAAUUUGGAGCUUGUCCGGAAGAACAGUGGAAGAAGUAGAGAUCUAGCUCCGGGCAGCUUCUAGGAACCGCAGGAAUCGAAGGAUGAGAGUCUCGCGUAGGGCUUGGUCGCAGUAGCGGCAUCUGGAUCGAUAGGAGCAGCCAUGAAUUCCAGGUGUAGAGUGGGGGAUCACGACCGGCGGCGCGAUAGAGGGCAAGAACGCGAGAUUACGGCGAGGAAUCGCUUGUAGCAGGCCAGGGAUUCGAGGCGAGAGAUGCGUUACCAGCUGGGAAUGGAGCGCUCCAAGCUAUCACGCUCGGCAAGCCCUCUCCCGAGAAUCCAAUGGCGAUGCUGCCCGGGGGAGGCGGCGCGGGAGGAUAGAUCAAGCAGAACAUCCAGAAGGUUCAUGCUUGGGGCAGGAGGGCCGCCAGAAUGUUAUAGUAUAUUCUUUUAUAUUUUAAUUGUUAUACCAUUAAAACAAAACGUUUGUAGUUAGAUAACAUUGUCAUUUCACACCAGAUUUAUAUUUAAGCUAUGUAUUCGGAAAUUAUUAUUCAAAA